rnacentral:rRNA from 1 species
AUUGAACGCUGGCGGCAGGCCUAACACAUGCAAGUCGAGCGGAUGAAGGGAGCUUGCUCCUGGAUUCAGCGGCGGACGGGUGAGUAAUGCCUAGGAAUCUGCCUGGUAGUGGGGGAUAACGUCCGGAAACGGGCGCUAAUACCGCAUACGUCCUGAGGGAGAAAGUGGGGGAUCUUCGGACCUCACGCUAUCAGAUGAGCCUAGGUCGGAUUAGCUAGUUGGUGGGGUAAAGGCCUACCAAGGCGACGAUCCGUAACUGGUCUGAGAGGAUGAUCAGUCACACUGGAACUGAGACACGGUCCCGACUCCUACGGGAGGCAGCAGUGGGGAAUAUUGGACCAUGGGCGAAAGCCUGAUCCAGCCAUGCCGCGUGUGUGAAGAAGGUCUUCGGAUUGUAAAGCACUUUAAGUUGGGAGGAAGGGCAGUAAGUUAAUACCUUGCUGUUUUGACGUUACCAACAGAAUAAGCACCGGCUAACUUCGUG